AACGAACGCUGGCGGCAGGCUUAACACAUGCAAGUCGAACACAUCCUUCGGGGUGAGUGGCAGACGGGUGAGUAACGCGUGGGAACGUGCCCUUCAGUUCGGGAUAACCCAGGGAAACUUGGGCUAAUACCGGAUACGUGCGAGAGCAGAAAGAUUUAUCGCUGAAGGAUCGGCCCGCGUCUGAUUAGCUAGUUGGUGGGGUAAUGGCCCACCAAGGCGACGAUCAGUAGCUGGUCUGAGAGGAUGAUCAGCCACAUUGGGACUGAGACACGGCCCAAACUCCUACGGGAGGCAGCAGUGGGGAAUAUUGGACAAUGGGCGCAAGCCUGACGCAGCCAUGCCGCGUGUAUGAUGAAGGUCUUAGGAUUGUAAACUCCUGUCAGAGGUGAAGAAUGCCCGCAAGGGUUUGACGGUAACCUCAGAGGAAGCCCCGGCUAACUACGUGCCAGCAGCCGCAGUAA
rnacentral:rRNA from 1 species